CCGGUGACAAACCGGAGAAGGUGGGGAUGACGUCAAGUCCUCAUGGCCCUUAUGGGUAGGGCUUCACACGUCAUACAAUGGUCGGUACAGAGGGUUGCCAACCCGCGAGGGGGAGCUAAUCCCACAAAGCCGAUCGUAGUCCGGAUCGCAGUCUGCAACUCGACUGCGUGAAGUCGGAAUCGCUAGUAAUCGUGGAUCAGCAUGUCACGGUGAAUACGUUCCCGGGUCUU
rnacentral:rRNA from 1 species